AGGCUCGCAGGCAGUUUAUUCAUCAUUCCGGCGCAGCGCUGUGUACUCGAACGUCGAGGUCUGGAGCGGUCGUGUUGAGAGACAAAUGGGAAAUGACGUUCACGCCAGUGACGGAGUGGCCUCGGAGUCACCGCUUUCAGGUUUGUGACUCACCACUUUUUCUUCGAAGAGCAGCAACUGGUGCAACCCCCGCAAUGAGUCAAACGCUGACAACGAGUCACUGACUGUGCGUAGUAGUGGGUGAUGAGUGCCUGACUCACUGAGAAAUCCACAACAUCUCACUGCACAAUUAGCGUGUUGCUAGUCACAUCACCUUCUUACCUGGUGGCUGCCUGAGGUCCACCGGUUUUAACUGAAAAUAAAAUAGCUUUGUGAUAUCCUUACA